rnacentral:rRNA from 1 species
CACGUAGGGGCAAGCGUUGUCCGGAUUUAUUGGGUCGUAAAGAGCUCGUAGGCGGCUUAGUAAGUCGGGUGUGAAACCCCCGGGCUCAACCCGGGGACGCCACCCGAUACUGCUGUGGCUUGAGUCCGGUAGGGGAGCGUGGAAUUCCUGGUGUAGCGGUGAAAUGACGCAGAGUAUCAGAAGGAACACCAGCGGCGAAGGCGGCGCUCUGGGGCCGGAACUGGACGCUGAGGAGCGAAAGCGUUGGGGAGCGAACAGG